rnacentral:misc_RNA from 1 species
GAAAUGCGAUAAGUAGUGUGAAUUGCAGAAUUCAGUGAAUCAUCGAAUCUUUGAACGCACAUUGCGCCUCCUGGUAUUCCGGGAGGCAUGCCUGUUCGAGCGUCAUCAAAACCCUCUCAAGCUCCUUUGCUUGGUAUUGGUGGACGAGCUGUGCUGUGCUUCUGCUGCACGCUCGCCUCCGAAAUGCAAUGGCGGAUGCCCUCGUGCUCUCCACGGCGUGAUAAGCUUUGUUCUUUCGCCUGGGUGCCGUGGUGCUCCUGCCCAGAACCCCCGUAACUUUCCAAGGUUGACCUCGGAUCAGGUAGGGAUACCCGCUGAACUUAA